rnacentral:rRNA from 1 species
UGCCAGCCGCCGCGGUAAUACGGAGGGGGUUAGCGUUGUUCGGAAUUACUGGGCGUAAAGCGCACGUAGGCGGAUUGGAAAGUUAGGGGUGAAAUCCCGGGGCUCAACCCCGGAACUGCCUCUAAUACUGGUAGUCUAGAGUUCGAGAGAGGUGAGUGGAAUUCCGGGUGUAGCGGUGAAAUGCGUUGAUAUCAGGAGGAACGCCGGAGGCGAAAGCGACUAUCUGGGCCAUAACUGACGCUGAUGUGCGAAAGCUAGGGGAGCAAACGGGAUUAGAUA